rnacentral:rRNA from 1 species
AGUGAACGCUGGCGGUAGGCCUAACACAUGCAAGUCGAACGGCAGCACAGUAAGAGCUUGCUCUUACGGGUGGCGAGUGGCGGACGGGUGAGGAAUACAUCGGAAUCUACUUUUUCGUGGGGGAUAACGUAGGGAAACUUACGCUAAUACCGCAUACGACCUACGGGUGAAAGCAGGGGAUCUUCGGACCUUGCGCGAUUGAAUGAGCCGAUGUCGGAUUAGCUAGUUGGCGGGGUAAAGGCCCACCAAGGCGACGAUCCGUAGCUGGUCUGAGAGGAUGAUCAGCCACACUGGAACUGAGACACGGUCCAGACUCCUACGGGAGGCAGCAGUGGGGAAUAUUGGACAAUGCGCGCAAGCCUGAUCCAGCCAUACCGCGUGGGUGAAGAAGGCCUUCGGGUUGUAAAGCCCUUUUGUUGGGAAAGAAAAGCAGCAGGUUAAGACCCCGCUGUUCGGACGGUACCCAAAGAAUAAGCACCGGCGAACUUCGU